GACGAGGGAUCCUAGCGUUGUUCGGAAUCAUUGGGCGUAAAGCGGGUGCAGGUGGCUAUGUAAAGUCAGGUGUGAAAGCCUAGGGCUCAACCCUAGAAGUGCAUUUGAUACUGCGUAGCUUGAGUGGUAGAGAGGAUAGUAGAAUUCUUGGUGUAGUGGUGAAAUACGUAGAUAUCAAGAGGAAUACCGGAGGCGAAGGCGGCUAUCUGGCUACACACUGACACUCAGAACCCGAAAGUGCGGGGAUCAAAACCAGGA
rnacentral:rRNA from 1 species